rnacentral:rRNA from 1 species
UCCCAGACUCCUACGGGAGGCAGCAGUGAGGAAUAUUGGUCAAUGGCCGGAAGGCUGAACCAGCCAAGUCGCGUGAGGGACGACUGCCCUAUGGGUUGUAAACCUCUUUUAUAAGGGAAGAAUAAAUGCUACGUGUAGCAUGAUGCCUGUACCUUAUGAAUAAGCACCGGCUAACUCCGUGCCAGCAGCCGCGGUAAUACGUAGGGGGCAAGCGUUAUCCGGAGUCACUGGGUGUAAAGGGAGCGUAGACGGCGACGCAAGUCUGGGGUGAAAGCCCGGGGCCCAACCCCGGGACUGCUCUGGAAACUGCGGCGCUGGGGUACGGGAGGGGCAGGCGGAAUUCCUGGUGUAGCGGUGAAAUGCGUAGAUAUCAGGAGGAACACCGGCGGCGAAGGCGGCCUGCUGGACCGUGACUGACGUUGAGGCUCGAGAGCGUGGGGAGCAAACAGGAUUAGAUACCCUAGUAA